rnacentral:lncRNA from 1 species
CAUUACUUAAGUUCUCCAAUGCUAGAGUUCCCAAUUACUCGAACUUGUCCAGACCCUGAAACAAUCUGGAACACAAAAUCUUAAUUAUUCCAAGUGUUGAAGCUAGAUGAGCAAGAAUAUGAACUUUUUAUUCCGUUGUACUUGUUUGAAGCAAUUGGAACACAAAUUUCUCUUGUAAAGCUUGCAGAUCUACCUGAAGAUUAAUAUGGGUAACAAGGAAGAAAUUAGUUUUGCACCUCAUUGUCUCAUGAUAUUCAGCAAAAGAAUAACUUGAAACAUUGUUUUAAAUAAAAGAAUAAUAUGAACUUUUGAGAAAACAUCAGUUUCGAUGCCAUUGUAACUUGUAAAGUACUUCCAGACGUAGAUGCCUGUGUUAACUGAUUCCCUGUAGUGCAAUGAAAAAAAAUACUUAGUGCAUGCAUCAUAGUGUGUGCCAAAAUAGUAAAAAAAAUUGAAAGAAGAACUGUGUGUAAGCAAAGAGCUCUCUACUAUGAUGGGAGAGAAAAAACCUUGUUUCCAACUUUGUCACUUUCAUGUGCCUUAUUCCAAAACUCUGAAUGUUGAAGAAAGGGCAAUGUGGAUAGCUUGCAAUGAAAAGCAUCUUGAAAUUGUAAGACACUGCUGAAAUUUGUGUUAGAAUUUUGUCUGAAUCUCUCUCAGGAUCGAGAAUGUCAAAGCUCAUAUCAAUGAAAUUCGCAACAACAAGAAACUAAUAGGUAGGUCCUUUGGGUUUGUUGUGCACUGGGAAAGGGCUAUGCACCUGUUUUGGAGAAAAUGAUAAGGUACUGUGACAUUGAAGUAAAAAAUAAGUUGCAGAGAAUAUAUUUUUUGUUCCUUUCGGAAAGAAAGCUUACCAGUCCAGCUCUCUCUAGCCUAUAUCCAACACUGACCUCUGAGAAAAAUGUUUUAUGUUGAGAGUGAUCCAAAUGUGGAUUCAUCAGAAGCAUCUGUACAUGUUUUAAAAAUCUCACAAAAACUGAUUGUAUUGAGUACCUAUCAAUACAACUAAAUGAAGAAAAAAGUGAAGUUCAGACGCUUAACUUGCAAUAAUGUCUGAAUACAUAACGUGUGUCAAAACUUCAUUUGGUAAGCCUCCGCCAUUCUUCUGUCGCAUGUACUGAUUAGACAUAACAAGAUCUGAGAAAUAGUCCAUCACACGCCUAUGCAUCUAACCAUGCAUCUUCCAUCAUUGAUAAAGUUAACGUUUUUUGAUCAACCAUCUAUGAUCUAUCUAGAAAAUACGAGGGAUGCACAAAUAAUUUUUGUUAGAAGAUACUACAUAGGAGUACAUCUCUAUAUUUCUUGAGAAGGGAAGAAAAACAACAAGAUUAAUGUAUUAGGAAAUCAUUUUUGCCUGUACUCAACUUUUCUCAAGUAGGACAGGACAGUAUUGUAUAAUUCAUUCUCAAUAGAUGUAGAGAAGUGUUUUUGUGUUACAGUUGUUUCCCUUGUAUUACACAAUAAGCUGGCCCUUCUGAAACUUCGUUCAGCACGUGUGUUGAACAACACAACUGUAUUUUGGAAUGUGUUUUUAUACUGCUCAAGUGCCUAGAGCAUGGCUUUGUCUGAGAUGUGGAAACUAUUUGAAUACUAGGUAUGUGUAGUGUGGCACUAGAACUAGAGAUUAGACCUGUGUAGGCAAACAUUAGCUUUGAGCAACUUGGUUUGGAACUAGAGGGAAUUGGGUCUAGAAAACAACCACCCUGGGUUGGUUUUGUGUCUCUACAAGAAGAACCUAUUGCAUUUGGAACUGCAUGUGUAGCAGUACUAAUGUGGUAGCUACUUUGGGCAAUUGCUUCUGGAGGAAAAAUCUUCAAACAGAUCAAACGAUUGUUCUCCAUAGAAUGUUUCUACUAGCACACAGUUAGUUUUAGGACCAAAGAGAUGUUCAUUCAAUGAUAGACCCCGGCCCACUUAUCAGCUGUGUAGAAUGGUGUUUUUUUCCACCUGAACUACUUCUGUUGGUCAACAUGUUGCAAGUGGACGCAGGUACAGUCAACUCAUUCCUUUCAAUUUGAUAACUUGCACUCCUUUGCAAUUCAGGAUGUGUGCCUACAAAAAUUGAUUCGAUGCAAUAGUUUCUAUGAGAGAAGAACUGGUAGCUAGUACUGUACAAGCAUAUGUUCAAAAAGGUUGGUGUAUAUAAAGUUAAGAAGAUGUAAUAAAUACCAUGAGGAGAUACAAGGGGUGUUUCCACUGUGACGUCCUUCCAUCUUAAUUUUUCAUGUAUAGAUUCAUUCAUGUUUAAGAAUGUGCUUUGUUCUUUUGGGAAUAACUGAGCAUACAUUUCUGAUGCAAAAAGAAGAACAUGAAAAAGUUGAAUUAGUAAAGGAAUGCCAAUAAAUUUGUAAAGAAAAGAAAUCAGUAAAUGGAUGAGAAAAGAAAUGUAGUAUAUGGAUGAGAAACAGAAAUAUCUUAUACCUUUCGUCAUACCAAUGUCUCCAACAUACUUGUAUUCUUCAUGUCUUUGAGCUGGAAGUUCAAUUCUUUUAGGACCUAGAAGAUCUUCUUAAAUGUUAGCCAAUUUCUCUAACAAAACAAUACCAUUCUCACUUUCGAUGAAUGUGGUCACUUUAUUUGUUAUGAUCACUUUGAAGAAUGAUUCAAGUACUACUUCAUCAACAAAUUACGACACUGGUAUUUCUAAGCAGAAAUUCUCAAAUAUAGAAGAAAGGUCUACUUGAGGGAAAACUGAGAUCCUGUUGGGAGGUGCAACAACAGGCAAAUGUUUGUCGGAGUCCUGGUUGCCGACAAGAACUUGCAACAUAUCAUCUACAUAUGUCUUGACAGUUGGAAUUGAAUACUCAAUCAUUCUUUGGAACAAAUUCUGGGUCAUUACUUGCAGGUUCAAUUUGGCCUAUUGUUAAGAAAUAAUAAAUAUAAAAGGAGGCAGACUAGAAAGAUGAAUACUUGAUUAGAGGAAGAAGGUACCUCGACACUGUGUUCAAUUUGCAUCUUAUCAUGAAUAUAAUUUUGAAUGGUGCUUGGGAUCCUGUAAAAAUCAUCAUCUUGCAAGUGAUAACUUCUAAAUGGCGUUGCAGAUAUGUGCUUUAA